rnacentral:rRNA from 1 species
GUUGAAAAAUUAGCGGAUGACUUGUGGCUGGGGGUGAAAGGCCAAUCAAACCGGGAGAUAGCUGGUUCUCCCCGAAAUCUAUUUAGGUAGAGCCUUAUGUGAAUACCUUCGGGGGUAGAGCACUGUUUCGGCUAGGGGUCCAUCCCGGAUUACCAACCCGAUGCAAACUGCGAAUACCGAAGAGUAAUGCAUAGGAGACACACGGUGGGUGCUAACGUCCAUCGUGGAGAGGGAAACAACCCAGACCGCCAGCUAAGGUCCCAAAGUCUAUAUUAAGUGGGAAACGAAGUGGGAAGGCUUAGACAGCUAGGAUGUUGGCUUAGAAGCAGCCAUCAUUUAAAGAAAGCGUAAUAGCUCACUAGUCGAGUCGGCCUGCGCGGAAGAUGUAACGGGGCUAAAAUAUAGCACCGAAGCUGCGGCAUCAGGCGUAUCACUAAUACGCCUUACGAUUAACAACAUCGAAUGAAGUGAAACGGAAAGAGAUGUUGGUCAAGCAACCCGAACGUUGAGUCGGAAAGUAAUCGAAGAGAGGAUUAUUAGUGAUACGUCUGUUGGGUAGGGGAGCGUUGUGUAAGCGGAUGAAGGUGAAUCGAGAGGUUUGCUGGACGUAUCACAAGUGCGAAUGCUGACAUAAGUAACGAUAAAACGAGUGAAAAACUCGUUCGCCGGAAGACCAAGGGUUCCUGUCCAACGUUAAUCGGGGCAGGGUGAGUCGGCCCCUAAGGCGAGGCUGAAAAGCGUAGUCGAUGGGAAACGGGUUAAUAUUCCCGUACUUGUCUUCAUUGCGAUGUGGGGACGGAGAAGGUUAGGUUAGCAGACUGUUGGAUGUCUGUUUAAGUUGGUAGGUGGGGAGCUUAGGCAAAUCCGGGCUCCUAUUAACACUGAGAGAUGAUGACGAGUUUCUACGGAAAUGAAGUAACUGAUACCACGCUUCCAGGAAAAGCCACUAAGCCUCAGAUGAAGAUAAACCGUACUGAAAACCGACACAGGUGGUCAGGUAGAGAAUACUCAGGCGCUUGAGAGAACUCGGGUGAAGGAACUAGGCAAAAUAGCACCGUAACUUCGGGAGAAGGUGCGCUGGCGUAGGUUGUAGGAGUAUACCUCCGAAGGCUGAACCAGUCGAAGAUACCAGCUGGCUGCAACUGUUUAUUAAAAACACAGCACUCUGCAAACACGAAAGUGGACGUAUAGGGUGUGAUGCCUGCCCGGUGCUGGAAGGUUAAUUGAUGGUGUUAUCGAAAGA